AAUUUGACUGCUGUGGCUAGAUCUUAAAGUAACAAUGUAAUAUAUCCUUGAUAAGAAACAAACUUCAUACCAACCACACUGCUACAAUUGGAACAGUGGAAAAUGUUUCUGUAUGUGUAUGGGCAGUUUCAUUGCAUACACUAAUGAAAUGCUUGUACAAUAAAUGCACGCCAGUCAUUAACUGAUGCAUGUUGUCUUUGUAGACUUUGAAGAGCUGUCGCAUCAAAGAUUUCUGGUGGACUAACACACUCGAAGACAAAGUGAUAGGCGAUGCCUCGCACCAAGGCAUCCCGGCGUUCAGCAGCAGCAAAGAAGAGGCUAAUGGAUAGACGUCGAGCUACUGGUAGCGAUGUUGUGGCUAAGACUGUUGACGGGGUUACCCCUAUUCCCCGACCCAAAAAGGAGCUGACCGUGACUAGCCUGACGAGCCACAACCAACAGCCUGACCCCGCUGCUGCUGCCAUCCAUGUCGUG